rnacentral:lncRNA from 1 species
CUGCAGGCGCCGCCCCACGCGCCCCCCGCCCGAAUCAGAGCUUGGGGUUUGGGGCUUGGGACCGGGACCCAGAGCCAAGCUUCAGCUUUUGGAGAAGUUAAGUCCCAAGUGACCAGAUGAAAAAUGGCUCGCGAAGCAACAUGUGAAUUCGGGCAAGGAGAAUGGCGUUCAAGGGGUUAAUGAAGAGCUUGGUUGCCCAGAGUCUGCAGUGAGGUGCCUCAACCAAAAGCUGCUUUUCAAAGACCCGUUUACUCAGGGCUAGACACUGUUUUAAGAGAGAGCACCAUCUGAAUGGAGAGAGCACCAUCUGAAUGGAGAGAGCACCAUCUGAAUGGAGAGAGCACCAUCUGAAUGGAGAGAGCAAGCAAGAAAGGGUAAGCACAAGUGGCCCGGGCACCCGAGGAUCACGAUGGCUCUUCAGUUAGCUGUCAGCGCGCAAUAUAAAUCCUUGCUAUGUGAGCAAGUUGGAUCCAAUUCUUCAUCAAAGGUACUGUGCUCAUGGAGGCUGUCAGAUGCUCCCCGUCAAAUGAAUCCGCAUCCGCAGUCCAAAGGCCAGAGGAAAGGGGAUCGGCAGGGACAGAAGACAAACCUUCAGAAAUGCUGUGCAGAAAAGGCCGCCUUUCUGCCUAACAGGUCUCUCUCUUGCUGAAAGCAGCAGUAUGCAUUAUGUUUUUGAAAAUGAACUCCUGGGCCGCGAGACGGGGAGAAUCAAGUGCUGUGAAUGCGCAACAAUCUGAGUUUGAUCCUCAGAACCACAACAGAAGUAGAGGGCA